AUUGAACGCUGGCGGCAGGCCUAACACAUGCAAGUCGAACGGUAACAGGAAGAAGCUUGCUUCUUUGCUGACGAGUGGCGGACGGGUGAGUAAUGUCUGGGAAACUGCCUGAUGGAGGGGGAUAACUACUGGAAACGGUAGCUAAUACCGCAUAACGUCGCAAGACCAAAGAGGGGGACCUUCGGGCCUCUUGCCAUCGGAUGUGCCCAGAUGGGAUUAGCUAGUAGGUGGGGUAACGGCUCACCUAGGCGACGAUCCCUAGCUGGUCUGAGAGGAUGACCAGCCACACUGGAACUGAGACACGGUCCAGACUCCUACGGGAGGCAGCAGUGGGGAAUAUUGCACAAUGGGCGCAAGCCUGAUGCAGCCAUGCCGCGUGUAUGAAGAAGGCCUUCGGGUUGUAAAGUACUUUCAGCGGGGAGGAAGGGAGUAAAGUUAAUACCUUUGCUCAUUGACGUUACCCGCAGAAGAAGCACCGGCUAACUCCGUGCCAGCAGCCGCGGUAAUACGGAGGGUGCAAGCGUUAAUCGGAAUUACUGGGCGUUAAGCGCACGCAGGCGGUUUGUUAAUCAGAUGUGAAAUCCCGGGCUCAACCUGGGGACUGCAUCUUAUACUGGNCANCUUGAGUCUCGUA
rnacentral:rRNA from 1 species